AUGGCAGGAAACGCAGAUCUUCCGCUUCCUCCACUCCUCUCCAGCCAAAAAUUUCCGCCGAAAACUCAAAUCUUUUCAUCCCCCUCCCUCUCGCUCCCUCCUACCUACCUCCGCUACAAGUACCCAUGGAAGAUCUUCCCAGUCCCAUCCCAAGCUCCAACCCAGCCACCUCGCUGCCUAGGCCUACCCAUCACCGUGCCGGCCGGAUUUCAAGAGAGCCAGGCAGCACUUCUCUUCUCCGAGAUGGCAGUUGACCGCGCCGACAAGGAGAAUCUGGCGCCUGCCACCGCCGCCGUCGCCCGUCCUCAUGGCGUGGCCGUCAAGAGCUGCAAGCUCAAGCGGCUCGGGAGGGCGCGGAGGCGGGCACCGCUCAGGGACAUCACCAACCUCUUCGUUGCGGAGUCCGCGGUCGCCGAGUGGCAGCAGGCCCUGCUCCAGCAGCCGCACGAGGGGUCGCCGGCGGCGGAGCUGGCCGUGAAGAACGGGCCUGCCGGUGGUGCGGUAGCGCCACAUUCCCCUGACAACAAUGCUCCAGCAAGAGAAUGCAAGGAUGUCAAGAUUGACCGAGUCUAUAUUGAUUCGUGCACUGAUGAAAGGAAAGUGUGCUGGUGUUUGCCAACAAAAAUAGUUUCUGAAAGUCUGUUCGCUCUCAAGGGUGAUGAUGAUGCUUUGAAGAUGGUCUAUGUGCCACACAACACAAAGCACCAGACACUUUGA
rnacentral:rRNA from 1 species